GGUGUGAGCUCGAUCGUGGCGGCGAUAUGCUACGCGUGGAUGCAGUCGGGCAAGGCAGACGGCCAGGCGGCAGCGGUGCCGGUGGUGAACAUGCGCCGAAGCAGGAUGGCGGGGUGCAGGCAGGCGGCCUGGCUCCUCUACCACGUCGGGGUCGACGCCUCGGCCCUGCUCUUCGCCGAUGAGGUAGGCCAUGCUUUGCAACCAUGGUGCCUGAUUGUACUUAGAUGGCCAGCAUGGGAUUCGUCUCUGACAAACCGGACAACUGUCUAUGUCCCGUUCCAGAGUUAUUGGGCAUUUAUAAUUUGGGCAGAGGCGACAAGGAUGAUGAGGCCAUACAGCAAUUCAUCGCAGUCGUGUGCCCUGCCAUGUGGGUGUUCUUAA
rnacentral:rRNA from 1 species